GCCUAUGUAGCUCAGGGGUAGAGCACUUGCUUGGUAAGUAAGAGGUCGUAAGUUCAAGUCUUAUCAUAGGCUCCA
rnacentral:tRNA from 2 species